UAGGGAAUCUUCGGCAAUGGACGAAAGUCUGACCGAGCAACGCCGCGUGAGUGAAGAAGGUUUUCGGAUCGUAAAACUCUGUUGUUAGAGAAGAACAAGGACGUUAGUAACUGAACGUCCCCUGACGGUAUCUAACCAGAAAGCCACGGCUAACUACGUGCCAGCAGCCGCGGUAAUACGUAGGUGGCAAGCGUUGUCCGGAUUUAUUGGGCGUAAAGCGAGCGCAGGCGGUUUCUUAAGUCUGAUGUGAAAGCCCCCGGCUCAACCGGGGAGGGUCAUUGGAAACUGGGAGACUUGAGUGCAGAAGAGGAGAGUGGAAUUCCAUGUGUAGCGGUGAAAUACGUAGAUAUAUGGAGGAACACCAGUGGCGAAGGCGGCUCUCUGGUCUGUAACUGACGAUGAGGCUCGAAAGCGUGGGGAGCAAACAGG
rnacentral:rRNA from 1 species